AGCGAACGCUGGCGGCAGGCCUAACACAUGCAAGUCGAACGAACUCUUCGGAGUUAGUGGCGGACGGGUGAGUAACACGUGGGAACGUGCCUUUAGGUUCGGAAUAACUCAGGGAAACUUGUGCUAAUACCGAAUGUGCCCUUCGGGGGAAAGAUUUAUCGCCUUUAGGGCGGCCCGCGUCUGAUUAGCUAGUUGGUGAGGUAAAGGCUCACCAAGGCGACGAUCAGUAGCUGGUCUGAGAGGAUGAUCAGCCACAUUGGGACUGAGACACGGCCCAAACUCCUACGGGAGGCAGCAGUGGGGAAUCUUGCGCAAUGGGCGAAAGCCUGACGCAGCCAUGCCGCGUGAAUGAUGAAGGUCUUAGGAUUGUAAAAUUCUUUCACCGGGGACGAUAAUGACGGUACCCGGAGAAGAAACCCCGGCUAACUUCGUGCCAGCAGCCGCGGUAA
rnacentral:rRNA from 1 species